GAUGAAGAACGUAGCGAAAUGCGAUAAGUAGUGUGAAUUGCAGAAUUCAGUGAAUCAUCGAAUCUUUGAACGCACAUUGCGCCCUUUGGUAUUCCUUAGGGCAUGCCUGUUCGAGCGUCAUUUAACCCCUCAAGCUCAGCUUGGUGUUGGGCGUCCUGUCCCCCCCCGGGGGACUCGCCUCAAAUCGAUUGGCGGCCGGUACAUUGGCUUCGAGCGCAGCAGAAACGCGAACUCGGGCCCGUCGUAUUGGCUCCCAGAAGCUAUCUUCACAAUUUUGACCUCGGAUCAGGUAGGGAUACCCGCUGAACUUAAGCAUAUCAAUAAGCGGAGGA
rnacentral:misc_RNA from 1 species